AGUAGAGCUAGAAUACUUGUAAAAGUAUUACCCAAAUGAUACUCGUAUGUUUUUAGCCCUUGGAUGGAGAGAUGUGAGGUUGAGAUGAUAGUGAUAGGUGGUGGUAGGUGGUGGUAGGUGUAAUAGUGUUUGAUCUAAAGGCUAUUAGUAAUCAAAAAGUAGAUCCAAUGGUUAAAAACACACAAGUAUCACUUGGGUGAUACUUGUAAAAGUAUUCUAGCCCUACUCUAUAUAGUUGAGCUACAAUACUUUCAAAAGCACCAAAGGAGUCGUGCUUUUGAGUUUUUAACCAUUGAAUAAAGAGAUGUAGGGUUGAGAUGAUGGUGCAUGGUAGGUGGUGGUAGGUGGAAUAAUGUUUGAUCUAAAGGUUAUUAAUAAUCAAGGAGUAGAUCUAAGGGCUAGAAACCUGGAAGCACUGAGAACUUGGGGCUUCUAAAAGUAUUCUAGCUCAAUUUUAUACAUAUAUAGAGGGAGAGAGUAGGGGGGUUUGGGGCGACACGUGUCACCCUGUGGUACCCGUGAGUUUUUAACCAUUGGAUGAAGAGAUGUAGGGUUGAGAUAAUGGUGGUAAGUGGUGGUAGGUGGAAUAAUGUUUGAUCCAAAAGUUAUUAAUAAUCAAGGAGUAGAUCUAAGGGCUAGAAACCUGGAAGCACUGAGAACUUGGUGCUUCUAAAAGUAUUCUAGCUCAAUUCUAUACAUAUAUAGAGAGAGAGAGAGUAGGGGGGUUUGGGAGGACACAUGUCACCCUGUGGUACCCGCAAGCCCUCUUUUAGGGCUUGUUUGGUUCAAAGAUGGAAUUGGAAUGAAUAAUGGAAUGAGAAUGAAUUGGAAUGAUAAUUAGAAUGGCCCACUCCAACAAGACGUUUGGUUUAUUUAUGGAUUGAGAAUUGGAAUUAGUUAUUCACAUUUCAUUGUUUGGUUCGUAUAAAUUAAAAAAAUUAUAGGAUACUAUAAUAAUAAUUUUACUCUCAAAUAUAAAUUUAUAUUAUUUAAAAUUUAUGAAAAAUAUAAUACUAAUCUCUAUUAAGUUUUCUAAAAAAAAAUAUCAAAUUUAUUUUUAAAAACUUUUAUUGAUGUGGGUUAAGGAUAGGGUUUUGAGAGAUGAUAGGUUUUUUUUUUUUUGAUGAGAAAUGGGUGAAGAGAAGGAGGGUGAGAUGGUCACAUGGGCUUCGAGAACUUAGUAGGCUUCCGGAAUGAAAUCUCUAUCCGGGCUAGAAAAUCGGAAUCAAGUUGAAGGCUAAUGGGUCAUUCCCAUUCCAGUCCGGAAUAGGAAUCCCCAACCGUCAUGCGAACCAAACAAAAUUAAUCGGAUUUGAUCAAAUCGAUUUUCAUUUCAUACCGAAAAUGGAUGAACCAAACAAGCCCCUAAUGUAGUUAGAAGAAAAAGAUGGUUAGAAGAUAGAAG
rnacentral:lncRNA from 1 species